AUGGCGACUGAGCUGGCCGCCGACGACCCCCCCGUAGUGCACCUCCGCGCGACGGGCGAGGCACUCGCCACAGACAUGGCGGACGAGCACCGCGCGGGAGGCGAGGGUCGCGGCAUGACGACCGUCUACGACCUCUGCACCACCGACAAGCGACCGUCGCGCACCGUCCCCACCGUCGACGACCUGUGCGCCGCCAACAAGCCAACUCCGCGGGUCGUCCCCACAGUCCCGGAGUUCCCCGUAGCCGAGGAGCUACCCAAUCCAGAGCUUUUAAACAAAGAUACAAUUCCCGAGCCUUUGGAGUCAAACAACAACAGUAAAAAUGAUGGUUCAGGGGAUGAUAGCAUGGAUGAGCAAGAGGAGCAAAGUAUAGUUGAUAUGACAGAAUCAGAUGCAUCAGACGGCAUGCUGAUCGAUGGCCUGAGAACAUUUUUACAGAAAAGACAAGAGAGGAAGCAGGAGAGGAGUGCUUUGAAAGAGAAAAGGAAGAAGAGGACAAGGCCAGAGAAAGGAAAAGCCAAAGGGCACAUGAACAAAGGAAGAGCAACUGCAUACAGCAGGUUUAGCAUUGGAUAUUUCGCGAAGAUUGUUGAUGUUGUGUGCCAAAGCAAUCAUAGGAUGGAGGUUGUGAGGAACGGCGGUUUUGGAUACUUGCUCGAGCUAGAAGAUUGUUAUGUUCCAAGGCCUUUUGCUCAAUGGGUCGCAGACAACAUAUCCACAAAAGAGGAAGCAAUUGUACUUGGUGGCAAAUCAGUCCCUCUCAACCCUGAAGCCGUAUCAUUAGUUCUUGGUAUACCAGCAGGAAGAACAAAGAUCAGAGUGCUCGACGAGGAGUCCGGGAAAGCGGAGUUUCUAUCACUGUUUGGGCUAACAGAUCUUCCAUCAAUAAGUUUCUUCAGAAAUAAGCUUAUGAAGGAAGAGCUGCCUGACGACGUUUAUCUUCGCUGCUUCUUGACUGUCGCACUAGCAACCUUCCUGUGUCCCACAUCCAACACAAAGCCAAGCACCAAAUAUUUGGGAGCCCUUGUUGAUGUGUCAAAGUAUAAAGAUCUUUAUUGGUGCUCUUUCGUCCAUACAUGGAAUAUCUCUUAUGUCAAGAAAUAUCAAUCAGACAAGCUGAAGGAGAAACGGAUAACAACAACUUUGGGAGGCUGCAUAUAUCAGCUAGCAGUUCGGUGUCUAGACUUCAACAAUUUUGGAUCAAUAACAAUCCCUCCAGCACUACAAACCAUUAAACAUUUCAGUGAUAUGCUCCUCGGGAAAGAUGGACUCUAUGGAGCUCUCCAAAUCAAAGAUGAGGCAGAAACUUGCUAUGCACAAACUGAUGGUGCAUGGGCAAGCACCUCCAAGAACUCUAACAUCAGAAAAGCUAUACAUAGGGUCUUAGGCAACUCUUUUCCAGAGAAGAUCAAAGAAGAUAUAUUCCUCAAUUUCCAGGAGCGCGUAAAAGAUCAAAACCUGUCCACAUGUCUGAUAGCAAAACUAGUGCUGCUAGACACUUUGAACAUUGUUUCUUCUUCUUUCGAUGGCUCUCAACAUACCGAGAAGUUAGAGUCCUCCGACCAUUUGUAUAUGCCAACUAACGAAGAUAAUGGGUCUGGAAGUACUAUUAGAGUUGAUUCCAAUGGGAUUGAGAUAAACAGUGAUGGAAGAGGCAGGAAGAAGAGAAUGAAGACUAGUACACAGCAGUCAGAAACUUCAACAACUAAGGACAAUAUAUUGGAAGUUAAAAUAAAGGGAAGCAGACUUGAAGCAGCUGUGGAAGGAGGGGAAGCUGAAAUGCAGUCAGUACCGGGCAAUGGUCACACGAAAGAGCUCCAAAAAGAAGUUGUAAUGGAACAAACCAUGCAGAAUAGCAACGUCGCAACACAACAACCAGAGAUGAAUAUGCUUGAUGCAGAUACCAAUUUUCCCAAGUGCAAUGCUAGUGAUUGUUCGACUCAAAAAGAAGCACCUGAAAAGAGCACUAGCCUGAACUACAUGUUGUUAUCAGCUAGAUUGGCAAGAGCACUCGAAACGACAGAACAAGAUAUGAAUUCAAAGGAUGAAGCCAGCACACAUGUACCACCAACUUUCUCAGGUUUCCAACAUAACGCUGUUAACAGUAAUCAAUCUGAGCAUUGCACCGAAAGCAAGACAAUGUAUCAAGCAAACAAAGCAGCAGCAAUUGAGUGUGUGGAAUUAGAUACCACUGCCUUCCCACAAGACAACAAUAACCAAGAUGAUUUUCGUUUCAAUGAAGUCAGGGAGCAGGGGAAACAUGCAGGACUUGAUAUUGAUAUCAACAUACCACUAUCAAAUAGCGGUAUAGAUGACAAGCAUAAACAUGUGGAAGAUUUCCAACACACUAUGCAUCCAUUGGACAUUGCAAGACAAAAGUAUUUCUUUUUUGAUGAUAUGGCACCUAGCUGCAGAAUUUUUGUUGACCAUGAUGAUUGUGGGAACGAAAUAACAGAGCCAGAACUGUGGCGCGAUCUAGACAUGGACUCGAAUGCAUAUGAAGUCCAAAUAGAGGAAGCUAAGAAAAAAAUAUAA
rnacentral:rRNA from 1 species